rnacentral:rRNA from 1 species
AACGAACGCUGGCGGCAGGCUUAACACAUGCAAGUCGAACGCAUCCUUCGGGGUGAGUGGCAGACGGGUGAGUAACGCGGUGGAACGUGCCCUUCAGUUCGGGAUAACCCAGGGAAACUUGGGCGAAUACCGGAUACGUGCGAGAGCAGAGAGAUUUAUCGCUGAAGGAUCGGCCCGCGUCUGAUUAGCUAGUUGGUGGGGUAAUGGCUCACGAAGGCGACGAUCAGUAGCUGGUCUGAGAGGAUGAUCAGCCACAUUGGGACUGAGACACGGCCCAAACUCCUACGGGAGGCAGCAGUGGGGAAUAUUGGACAAUGGGCGCAAGCCUGAUCCAGCCAUGCCGCGUGAGCGAUGAAGGCCUUAGGGUUGUAAAGCUCUUUCGUCCGGGACGAUAAUGACGGUACCGGAAGAAGAAGCCCCGGCUAACUUCGUGCCAGCCGCCGCCGUAA